rnacentral:rRNA from 1 species
GAUGAACGCUGGCGGCGUGCCUAAUACAUGCAAGUCGAGCGAACAGACGAGGAGCUUGCUCCUCUGACGUUAGCGGCGGACGGGUGAGUAACACGUGGAUAACCUACCUAUAAGACUGGGAUAACUUCGGGAAACCGGAGCUAAUACCGGAUAAUAUAUUGAACCGCAUGGUUCAAUAGUGAAAGACGGUUGUGCUGUCACUUAUAGAUGGAUCUGGGCCGCAUUAGCUAGUUGUUAAGGUAACGGCUUACCAAGGCAACGAUGCGUAGCCGACCUGUGAGGGUGAUCGGCCACACUGGAACUGAGACACGGUCAAGACGCCUGCGGGAGGCAGCAGUAGGGAAUCGUCCGCAAUGGGCGAAAGCAUGACGGAGCGGGGCCGCGUGUGUGAUGACGGUCUUGGGAGCGGAAAACUCUGUUAUGAGGGAAGAACAAAUGUGUAAGUAGAUAUGCACGGCUUGACGGUACCUGAUCAGAAAGCCACGGCUAACUACGUG